UGGGGAAUAUUGCACAAUGGGGGAAACCCUGAUGCAGCGACGCCGCGUUAACGAAGAAGGUAUUCGUAUCGUAAAGUUCUGUCCUAUGGGAAGAUAAUGACAGUACCAUAGAAGAAAGCUCCGGCUAAAUACGUGCCAGCAGCCGCGGUAAUACGUAUGGAGCGAGCGUUGUCCGGAAUUAUUGGGCGUAAAGGGUACGCAGGCGGUUUAAUAAGUCGAAUGUUAAAGAUCGGGGCUCAACCCCGUAAAGCAUUGGAAACUGAUAAACUUGAGUAGUGGAGAGGAAAGUGGAAUUCCUAGUGUAGUGGUGAAAUACGUAGAUAUUAGGAGGAAUACCAGUAGCGAAGGCGACUUUCUGGACACAAACUGACGCUGAGGUACGAAAGCGUGGGGAGCAAACAGG
rnacentral:rRNA from 1 species